CAAAUGCGGACGGCCCUUAUCAGACCAGAAGAAGUGUGAUUAGACCCAGAGAGGAGAACCCAGAGAAACACUCCUACAGCUGUGUAGUGCAGCACAGCAGCAUAGGAGGAAAUAUCACCAAAACAUGGGUUACAGAGACACGCAUCAGAAUGGGAGUUUUUGUGCAUUGUUUUGGCUGUCAUCGGAUGUGGGCUUGUGUUCAGGCAGUUCUGUAGAACUAAAAGUGUUGUGAUUUGAAAGCAGAUGAAGCAGUCUUUCUUCAGUUUUUCCUUUUAAAAGGCUCCAGGUCCAUCUGUCUGUGCUGAAUCCGCCUCCUUUUAAUGGAGAAUCUCUGAUCAUCCUAAGCAUUAAUUGUUUUGUUUUUUUUAUUUGUGUUUUUAAGGGUAUAUGGAUUUGUUGCAAGUGCCAGAGAAGAACACUUUUGAAAACGACAAAUACACAUUUUAGCUACUAGGACGUGAUGCGUGUGUUCAUGAUUUAAAAACUAAAUGUGAUUUAAGAAUACAAACAUUCAUAAGAAGAUACAAAUGUAAAUUGAACCUUAACUUUUCAUGUAUUAAUGUUGACUUUUUGUAUUAGAUA